rnacentral:rRNA from 1 species
AUCAUGAAACACGGAGCAAUCUGUGGCUUACAGAUGGGCCUGCGGCGCAUUAGCUAGUUGGUAGGGUAACGGCCUACCAAGGCGACGAUGCGUAGCCGACCUGAGAGGGUGAACGGCCACACUGGGACUGAGACACGGCCCAGACUCCUACGGGAGGCAGCAGUAGGGAAUCUUCCGCAAUGGACGCAAGUCUGACGGAGCAACGCCGCGUGAGUGAUGAAGGUUUUCGGAUCGUAAAGCUCUGUUGCCCUAGACGAACAGCAAGGAGAGUAACUGCUCUUUGUGUGACGGUAUAGGAGAAGAAAGCCCCGGCUAACUACGUGCCAGCAGCCGCGGUAAUACGUAGGGGGCAAGCGUUGUCCGGAAUUAUUGGGGCGUAAAGCGCGCGCAGGCGG